GUUAGGAAUUUUGGGCAAUGGGCGCAAGCCUGACCCAGCAACGCCGCGUGGGCGACGAAGCCCUUCGGGGUGUAAAGCCCUUUUCCACGGGACGAAUCUGACGGUACCGUGGGAAGAAGCCCCGGCUAACUACGUGCCAGCAGCCGCGGUAAUACGUAGGGGGCGAGCGUUGUCCGGAUUCAUUGGGCGUAAAGCGCGCGCAGGCGGUUGGAAGAGCCCGGCGUGAAAGCCCCCAGCUCAACUGGGGGAGGCCGUCGGGGACCUUUCGACUGGAGGCCGGUAGGGGAGAGCGGAAUUCCCGGUGUAGUGGUGGAAUGCGUAGAUAUCGGGAGGAACACCGGUGGCGAAGGCGGCUCUCUGGACCGGUCCUGACGCUCAGGCGCGAAAGCGUGGGGAGCGAUCCGGAUUAGAUACCCUAGUAGUCC
rnacentral:rRNA from 1 species